AACGAACGCUGGCGGCAGGCUUAACACAUGCAAGUCGAACGCAUCCUUCGGUGUGAGUGGCAGACGGGUGAGUAAUGCGUGGGAACGUGCCCUUCAGCUCGGGAUAAUCCAGGGAAACUUGGGCUAAUACCGGAUACGUGCGAGAGCAGAAAGAUUAAUCGCUGAAGGAUCGGCCCGCGUCUGAUUAGCUAGUUGGUGGGGGAAUGGCCCACAAAGGCGAUGAGCAGUAGCUGGUCUGAGAGGAUGAUCAGCCACAUUGGGACUGAGACACGGCCCAAACUCCUACGGGAGGCAGCAGUGGGGAAUAUUGGACAAUGGGCGCAAGCCUGAUCCAGCCAUGCCGCGUGAGUGAUGAAGGCCUUAGGGUUGUAAAGCUCUAUCGUCCGGGACGAUAAUGACGGUACCGGAAGAAGAAGCCCCGGCUAACUUCGUGCCAGCAGCCGCCGUAA
rnacentral:rRNA from 1 species